GUCUCCACCCGAGACUCAGUGAAAUUGAAAUCGCUGUGAAGAUGCAGUGUACCCGCACCUAGACGGAAAGACCCCGUGAACCUUUACUACAGCUUGGCACUGAACAUUGACCCUACAUGUGUAGGAUAGGUGGGAGGCUUUGAAGCAUAGUCGCCAGAUUAUGUGGAGCUGCCCUUGAAAUACCACCCUUGUAUGUUUGAUGU
rnacentral:rRNA from 18 species